GCUCUGGGGCAGCAGCACAAGAGAGACAUGGAGCUGUUGGAGCGAGGCCAGAGGAGGCCAUGGAGCUGCUGCGAGGGCUGGAGCAGCUCUGCUCUGGAGCCAGGCUGAGAGAGCUGGGCUGGGGCAGCCUGGACAAGAGAAGGCUCCUGAAGGGGAGACCUGAGAGCAGCUCCAGUGCCUAAAGGGGCUGCAGGAAAGCUGGAGAGGGGUUUGGGACAAGGGCCNNNNNNNNNNNNNNNNNNNNGCUCAUCCUGGCGCUGAACCAGAACGCCAUCCGGGAGCUGGACGUGUCCCAGCUUCUCGCCAAGCCCGUGAUCGUGAUCCAGUCCUCAGACAACGUCACCAGGCUGCUGGGAGCGCUGCUGCGGGGGCUCCAGGUGACAGCCAAGAUCACGUACCAGGCGGUGCUGCUGGAGAACCUGGGAGUGACCCUCACGCUGUGGUCAACCUGCGGCCUCUCUCGAGGGGGCCUCUACGGGGAGUGGCAGGGGGUGAUCUGCACCGGGGAGAACAGCUCACAGGUCCAGGUACGGCUCCGGCACUGGGGAGGGCUCCUCCUGUAACCAGUUACUGGUGUGGGGCAGUGGCAAUGGUGGGGAUGGGAGUGGAGGGAACCCCCUCGUGUGCUGGGCUUCACCCCCAGAGUGUGAGCAGCAGCUCAGGGAGGGGAUCCUGCCCCUCUGCUGUGCUCUGGGGAGACCCCCCCUGCAGCCCUGAUCCAGCUCUGGGGCAGCAGCACAAGAGGGACCUGGAGCUGUUGGAGCAAGUGCAGAGGAGGCCAUGGAGCUGCUGCGAGGGCUGGAGCAGCUCUGCUCUGGAGCCAGGCUGAGAGAGCUGGGCUGGGGCAGCCUGGACAAGAGAAGGCUCCUGAAGGGGAGACCUGAGAGCAGCUCCAGUGCCUAAAGGGGCUGCAGGAAAGCUGGAGAGGGUCUUGGGACAAGGGCCUGUAGGGACAGGCCAAGGGGAAUGGCUUGAACCUGCCAGAACAGGGGAGACUGAGAUGAGCUCUUAGGCAGAAGCUCUUCCCUGUGAGGGUGCUGAGGCGCUGGCACAGGGUGCCCAGAGAAGCUGUGGCUGCCCCAUCCCUGGCAGUGU
rnacentral:lncRNA from 14 species